rnacentral:rRNA from 1 species
UACGUAGGGUGCAAGCGUUUAAUCGGAAUUACUGGGCGUAAAGCGUGCGCAGGCGGUUUUGUAAGUCUGUCGUGAAAUCCCCGGGCUCAACCUGGGAAUUGCGAUGGAGACUGCAAGGCUAGAAUCUGGCAGAGGGGGGGUAGAAUUCCACGUGUAGCAGUGAAAUGCGUAGAGAUGUGGAGGAACACCGAUGGCGAAGGCAGCCCCCCUGGGUCAAGAUUGACGCUCAUG